rnacentral:rRNA from 1 species
GAUGAACGCUGGCGGCGUGCCUAAUACAUGCAAGUCGAGCGAACAGACGAGGAGCUUGCUCCUCUGACGUUAGCGGCGGACGGGUGAGUAACACGUGGAUAACCUACCUAUAAGACUGGGAUAACUUCGGGAAACCGGAGCUAAUACCGGAUAAUAUAUUGUACCGCAUGGUUCAAUAGUGAAAGACGGUUUUGCUGUCACUUAUAGAUGGAUCCGCGCCGCAUUAGCUAGUUGGUAAGGUAACGGCUUACCAAGGCAACGAUGCGUAGCCGACCUGAGAGGGUGAUCGGCCACACUGGAACUGAGACACGGUCCAGACUCCUACGGGAGGCAGCAGUAGGGAAUCUUCCGCGAUGGGCGAAAGCCUGACGGAGCAACGCCGCGUGAGUGAUGAAGGUCUUCGGAUCGUAAAACUCUGUUAUUAGGGAAGAACAAAUGUGUAAGUAACUAUGCACGUCUUGACGGUACCUAAUCAGAAAGCCACGGCUAACUACGUG